ensembl:rRNA 5S_rRNA 5S ribosomal RNA
GUCUACGGCCAUACCACCCUGAACGCGCCCGAUCUCGUCUGAUCUCGGAAGCUAAGCAGGGUCGGGCCUGGUUAGUACUUGGAUGGGAGACAGUGACGAUGAGUGCCUUGCACA